GAUGAACGCUGGCGGCGUGCCUAAUACAUGCAAGUCGAGCGAACGGACGAGAAGCUUGCUUCUCUGAUGUUAGCGGCGGACGGGUGAGUAACACGUGGAUAACCUACCUAUAAGACUGGGAUAACUUCGGGAAACCGGAGCUAAUACCGGAUAAUAUUUUGAACCGCAUGGUUCAAAAGUGAAAGACGGUCUUGCUGUCACUUAUAGAUGGAUCCGCGCUGCAUUAGCUAGUUGGUAAGGUAACGGCUUACCAAGGCAACGAUGCAUAGCCGACCUGAGAGGGUGAUCGGCCACACUGGAACUGAGACACGGUCCAGACUCCUACGGGAGGCAGCAGUAGGGAAUCUUCCGCAAUGGGCGAAAGCCUGACGGAGCAACGCCGCGUGAGUGAUGAAGGUCUUCGGAUCGUAAAACUCUGUUAUCAGGGAAGAACAUAUGUGUAAGUAACUGUGCACAUCUUGACGGCACCUAAUCAGAAAGCCACGGCUAACUACGUG
rnacentral:rRNA from 1 species